AUACUUACCUGGUAGGGGUAAUGCCAUGAUCAUGAAUGUGGUUUUCCUGAGUGAGGCUUAUACUCCAGAUGGCCUGACUUGCAAUUUCCUCAGAUUCAGGAAACUAGACAAUUUAAUAUGUGAUAGUGGAGGACUGUACUUUCCCCUG
rnacentral:snRNA from 1 species